rnacentral:rRNA from 1 species
AGUGAACGCUGGCGGCGUGCUUAACACAUGCAAGUCGAACGAGAACGGAUUAUAGCUUGCUAUAAUUGUCAGCUAAGUGGCGCACGGGUGAGUAAUGUAUAGGUAAUAUGCCUCUUACUAAGGGAUAACAAAUGGAAACGUUUGCUAAUACCUUAUACUCCUUAUUAACAGAAGUUAAUAAGGGAAAGAUUUAUUGGUAAGAGAUUAGCCUGUAUUGUAUCAGUUAGUUGGUGGGGUAAUGGCUUACCAAGACUAAGACACAUAACUGGUUUGAGAGGAUGAUCAGUCACACUGGAACUGAGACACGGUCCAGACUCCUACGGGAGGCAGCAGUGGGGAAUAUUGCACAAUGGACGAAAGUCUGAUGCAGCAACGCCGCGUGGAGGAUGACACAUUUCGGUGCGUAAACUCCUUUUAUAUGAGAAGAUAAUGACGGUAUUAUAUGAAUAAGCACCGGCUAACUCCGUGCCAGCAGCCGCAGAACAC